rnacentral:lncRNA from 1 species
ACUGGUCGGAAUCUUUCUCUGUGUGCCAUGUUCAUCACUCCUUUCUGUCUCUUUAUCGUUCUUUGUUAUUAUUGACAAGGGUUUUCUCCUCAGGAAAGUGAUGAAGAUGCCAGAAAAACAAAUGAGCUGAGAGUAGAAACUUCAACAAUAAGCCAUGAUAGUGAUGAAGACAGCCAAACAGAAGAGCAGAGAGCAGAAACUUUUAAUGAAGCACAGGUGAAACGAAACUACAACCAUUACUCUUUUUCUGUCUCUGAAACUACACAACUUUCACAGUCUUAUCUCUUCUUCUUUUUCUGAUGUUUUUGAUGACUAAUGGACUUUUGUUCUUCCUCUAUGGUCCAUCAUGUUCACAAAAGAGCUCUCAGAGCAAUGAUGACGCUGGCAGCCAAACAGAAGUGCAAAGAGCAGACCUUUCCACAUUGGAACAGGAAAAUGUCCCUCAAGACAUGGAUGUUGUUCACUCCCAUGGACUAACGGAAGGGCAGAGUUUCAUCUCCAUUCUCUCCUUUGCACUGAAACACAACACUACUGGUGUAUUAACUGAAGAUCUGCUGACACUUCUAAAGUUACAUUCUGCUGGGACAAGUGCAGUUCCAACAACAAAAGACAGUUUACACGGAGGACAUUUCUUUAUCAGUAUUCCGUUAAAGGAUCAACUUAAAGAUAUUCUUGAAAAUCAGGAAAGAACUUCAGCAUAUUGUUCACCUGUGGAACACCCACAUCAUUCAGAGAAGCAGAAAUGCAGUUGCACCAAGUGGCCGGCCUCACAUGAUGUACAUGCUUCCUCAGCUUUUUGGGGAAAGGACCAUCUCAAACAUGCAUCUGUGCAAGCAGUACAAACAUGCAGAGCACAAUGCAUACAACGAUGGACCUUACCCAUGUGA